GACGAACGCUGGCGGCGUGCUUAACACAUGCAAGUCGUACGGUAAGGCCCUUUCGGGGGUACACGAGUGGCGAACGGGUGAGUAACACGUGAGUAACCUGCCCACAACUUUGGGAUAACGCUAGGAAACUGGUGCUAAUACUGGAUAUGUGCCCCUGCUGCAUGGUGGGGGUUGGAAAGCUCCGGCGGUUGUGGAUGGACUCGCGGCCUAUCAGCUUGUUGGUGGGGUAGUGGCCUACCAAGGCGGCGACGGGUAGCCGGCCUGAGAGGGUGACCGGCCACAUUGGGACUGAGAUACGGCCCAGACUCCUACGGGAGGCAGCAGUGGGGAAGAUUGCACAAUGGGCGCAAGCCUGAUGCAGCAACGCCGCGUGCGGGAUGACGGCCUUCGGGUUGUAAACCGCUUUCAGCAGGGACGAAGCUUUUUGUGACGGUACCUGCAGAAGAAGCACCGGCUAACUACGUG
rnacentral:rRNA from 1 species